GUUUAUAAAGUCGUAUAAACAACCAAAAUGAUUUAUAAAUCUGUAUAAAAUCAUUUAUAAGGGCGUAUAAAUUUAUAUAAGAUAAAAAAUAAAACUGGUUUUUUACCUCUUAUAAAAUCAAUCGAGUUUAGGAUAUAUAAAUGUGUAUUUAAAAGUUAUAAAGACUUAUAAAUCUAUAAAAAUUAAUUUAUAAAGGUCUAUAACUAAUAGAGAAAUGCUUAUAAAUCAGUUUACAAUAUUUAUAUACUAAAAUAAUGAUAUGUAAACACCAAUACUAGAAAACGUGAUAACCGUAACGAGUAUGUGAUAUGGUCUAGUGGUAAGUUGAGGUUACUUUAAAUUUCAGUUUAGACGGAAUCCCGGGUUCGACCCAGGACCUCAACAAUUUAUCUAUUUUUAUCAUUUACCAAAGGGAUGGCAAAACAGUAAGUUUAACUCUUCUCACGCCACGUCUUCAUUCUCUCCACUACGACACGUUUGUUUUGCUUUCUUGUUUUCUAUCAUUUCUUCAUCCUUUUCAAUGUCCGUAAAUUCCAAGAAGAAGAAUCAAC
rnacentral:lncRNA from 1 species